UACGUAGCAGCGAGCGUUGUUCGGAAUUACUGGGCGUAAAGAGUGUGUAGGCGGUGCUCUAAGUUCGGUGUGAAAUCUCCCGCUUAACUGGGAGGGUGCGCCGGAAACUGGAGUGCUCGAACGUGGGAGAGGAAAGCGGAAUUCCUGGUGUAGCGGUGAAAUGCGUAGAUAUCAGGAGGAACACCUGCGGUGUAGACGGCUUUCUGGACCAUUGUUGACGCUGAGACACGAAAGCGUGGGUAGCAAACAGG
rnacentral:rRNA from 1 species